rnacentral:tmRNA from 1 species
GGGGGCGUCACGGCUUCGACGGGAUUGCUUGGGGCAAAGAGGCAUGCCGGGGUGUGGACACCCGUAAUCGCUCACAAAACUAUAAGUGCCGAACCUCAAUUCGCACUCGCAGCUUAAUUAAUUAAGUUGCCGGAGUCCCCAGCUUCGCCUACGGGCCGGGAGCCUCCGUCGCACAGUAGGCUGGCCCAAGGAGUUCCGUCUGGACGCCAAGGGCGAGAUCAAUCAGGCUGGUGGCCGGGGCAUCUUUGCCCGUUCUAAGUACCGGCUACGAGACAAAAACGAACGCGGAAAAGCAUGAAUGCUCUUUGUCGUUGGUAGUUUCGGACGCGGGUUCGACUCCCGCCGCCUCCACCA